rnacentral:misc_RNA from 1 species
GAUGAAGAACGUAGCGAAAUGCGAUAAGUAAUGUGAAUUGCAGAAUUCAGUGAAUCAUCGAAUCUUUGAACGCAUCUUGCGCUCCUUGGUAUUCCUUGGAGCAUGCCUGUUUGAGUAUCAUGAGCAAAUCUCAAAGUCAAUUCCUUUUGUUAAUUCAAUUGGUUUUGCUUUGGACUUGGAGGUCUUGCAGAUUUUCACAGUCUGCUCCUCUUAAAUGCAUUAGCUGGAUCUCAGUAAUUAUGCUUGGUUCCACUCGGCGUGAUAAUUAUCACUCGCUGAGGACACUGUUAAAAAGGUGGCCAGGAAAAUACUGAUUGAACCGCUUCUAACGGUCUAUUAAGUUAGACAAUUACCCUUAAGUUUGAUCUCAAAUCAGGUAGGACUACCCGCUGAACUUAAGCAUAUCAAUAAGCGGAGGA